rnacentral:rRNA from 1 species
UACGUAGGGUGCAAGCGUUGUCCGGAACUAUUGGGCGUAAAGAGCUCGUAGGCGGUCUGUUGCGUCCGCUGUGAAAACUCGGGGCUUAACCCCGAGCCUGCAGUGGAUACGGGCAGACUAGAGGUAGGUAGGGGAGAAUGGAAUUCCCGGUGUAGCGGUGAAAUGCGCAGAUAUCGGGAGGAACACCGGUGGCGAAGGCGGUUCUCUGGGCCUUACCUGACGCUGAGGAGCGAAAGCGUGGGGAGCGAACAGG